GAUGAACGCUGGCGGCGUGCCUAAUACAUGCAAGUCGAGCGAACGGACGAGAAGCUUGCUUCUCUGAUGUUAGCGGCGGACGGGUGAGUAACACGUGGAUAACCUACCUAUAAGACUGGGAUAACUUCGGGAAACCGGAGCUAAUACCGGAUGAUAUUUUGAACCGCAUGGUUCAAAAGUGAAAGACGGUCUUGCUGUCACUUAUAGAUGGAUCCGCGCUGCAUUAGCUAGUUGGUAAGGUAACGGCUUACCAAGGCAACGAUGCAUAGCCGACCUGAUAGAGGGAUCGCCCGCACUGGAACGGGGACGCGGUCCAGACUCCUACGGGAGGCAGCAGUAGGGAAUCUGCCGCAAUGGGCGAAAGCCUGACGGAGCAACGCCGCGUGAGUGAUGAAGGUCUUCGGAUCGUAAAACUCUGUUAUUAGGGAAGAACAUAUGUGUAAGUAACUGUGCACAUCUUGACGGUACCUAAUCAGAAAGCCACGGCUAACUACGUG
rnacentral:rRNA from 1 species